GACGUAGGGCGCGAGCGUUGUCCGGAUUUAUUGGGCGUAAAGAGCUCGUAGGCGGCUUGUCGCGUCGUCCGUGAAAACUUGGGGCUCAACCCCAAGCUUGCGGUCGAUACGGGCAGGCUAGAGUUCGGUAGGGGAGACUGGAAUUCCUGGUGUAGCGGUGAAAUGCGCAGAUAUCAGGAGGAACACCGGUGGCGAAGGCGGAUCUCUGGGCCUUACCUGACGCUGAGACGCGAAAGCUAGGGGAGCGAACAGG
rnacentral:rRNA from 1 species